GGUUCCAUAGUAUAGUGGUUAGUACUGGGGACUUUAAAUCCCUUGACCUGGGUUCGAAUCCCAGUGGGACCU
rnacentral:tRNA from 14 species